UACGUAGGGUGCGAGCGUUAAUCGGAAUUACUGGGCGUAAAGCGUGCGCAGGCGGUGCGCCAAGCUCGAUGUGAAAGCCCCGGGCUUAACCUGGGAAUUGCAUUGAGGACUGGCGUGCUCGAGUGCGGCAGAGGGGGGUGGAAUUCCACGUGUAGCAGUGAAAUGCGUAGAGAUGUGGAGGAACACCGAUGGCGAAGGCAGCCCCCUGGGCCGACACUGACGCUCAUGCACGAAAGCGUGGGGAGCGAACAGG
rnacentral:rRNA from 1 species